AGUGAACGCUGGCGGCAGGCCUAACACAUGCAAGUCGAGCGGCAGCGCGUCCGACCACCCUCGGGUGGUCGGAUGGCGGCGAGCGGCGGACGGGUGAGGAAUGCAUCGGAAUCUGCCUCGUUGUGGGGGAUAACGUAGGGAAACUUACGCUAAUACCGCAUACGACCUACGGGUGAAAGUGGGGGACCUUCGGGCCUCACGCGAUGAGAUGAGCCGAUGCCGGAUUAGCUAGUUGGCGGGGUAAAGGCCCACCAAGGCGACGAUCCGUAGCUGGUCUGAGAGGAUGAUCAGCCACACUGGAACUGAGACACGGUCCAGACUCCUACGGGAGGCAGCAGUGGGGAAUAUUGCACAAUGGGCGCAAGCCUGAUGCAGCCAUGCCGCGUGUAUGAAG
rnacentral:rRNA from 1 species